UAUACCCAUGUUAAAUGGAGGUUACCUCCGUAUAUGUCAUCUGCUCCAUGGUAUCUCAAGUCUGAAAAACCGAGUUUGAAGCAUCAAAAGAAUUGGAAAAGUGAUCCUAUUUGCACAGACGCAUCGUAUGACAGAGGUGCAAAGAUCUAUCAAAAAAUUUGAACACUGUAGUACAUACCUUUGGUUCAGUACCCGGGAUGCACAUCCCCACAGCGUACACCCGAUCGGAACCUUUUCCAACCGAAGAAUUGUAGAAGCCGCUUCGAGCUGAGACAUUAGGAGCCAGAGAAGAGAGGAGAAGGCCACGGUUUGUAUCAAACUUACCAUGGAGUAUAAAAAAAACCCGGUUUCCCCGCAUUUGUGGGCAGACACGACAGGAAAGCCUACAAGGAAAAACAAGAAGAUUGGCAAGAAAUUCUUCAGUUUCAUUUUCAAGAUCAUACAGAUGUUGUUUGAGUUAGAAUAGCAAGCAAGUGUGUAUAUCUAUAAGCAUAUAUCAAUGUACAUCAAUUAAAUUUCCAUUGCAAGUUGUUCUUGACCCAUUGGUCCCUGUGUCUUUUUCAAUGUUUAUUGGGUUGACUAGUGUGCAA